CACGGUCUGCAGUCCGGCAGUAAGGGGGCGGGUGCUAAGGUCCGUCCCCGAGAGGAGAAGAAUCCAGACCGCCGUCUAAGGUCCCGGAGUUCUGCCUGAGUUAGUCUAACGAAGUCUGGUCCCUAUGACAGCUAGGAUGUUGGCUUGGAAGCAGCCAUUCAUUCAAAGAGUGCGUAACAGCUCACUAGUCGAGGGUCCGGGCAUGGAUAAUAAUCGGGUAUAAGGCAGACACCGAAGGCGCGGGAUAGCAAUAAUAAAAGUAUCGGUAGGGGAGCAUACUCACAGCGUCGAAUGGUGUACGUAAGUUAUCCUGGAGCGGUGAGUAAAGCAAAUGUAGGAAUAAGUAACGAUAAGGAGGGUUAGAUUCCCUCCCGCUGUAAGACCAAGGUUUCCCGGGCAAUGCCAAUCAGCCCGGGGUCAGUCGGGUCCUAAGUCUAAGCCGAACGGCGAUGGCGAUGGCAGAGACGGUUAAUAUUCCGUCACUGCCGCAUGGGGCGACGUGGAGACGGAGCAGUGAAACCACCGCGGGGCGACGGAAGUCCCCGUUGAAGGGUGUAGGCGUUGAGGAAGGCAGGCAAAUCCACCUUCCGAGCUGAACCUGACAGUACGGAGUCCUCCUCGGAGGAAUCUGAUAGUGUGGGUAAUCAUACUCCCGAGAAAAUCCGCUAAGCUUAACCCAUGCGGCACCCGUACCGCAAACGGACACACGUGGUCGGGUAGAACAUACUAAGGCGUUGAGAGAUUCAUGGUUAAGGAACUAGGCAAAUUGACCCUGUAACUUCGGGAUAAAGGGUCCUCGUGAUGAGCGAGGCGCAGAGAAUAGGUCCAGGCAACUGUUUAACAAAAACACAGGGCUGUGCCAAAUUGAAAGAUUACGUAUACAGCCUGACACCUGCCCGGUGCUGGAAGGUUAAGAGGAGAUGUCAUCGCAAGAGAAGCAUUGAAUUGAAGCCCCAGUAAACGGCGGCCGUAACUAUAACGGUCCUAAGGUAGCGAAAUUCCUUGUCGGGUAAGUUCCGACCUGCACGAAUGGUGUAAUGAUCCGGACGCUGUCUCAACCGUGAGCUCAGUGAAAUUGUAGUAUCGGUGAAGAUGCCGAUUACCCGCGAUGGGACGAAAAGACCCCGUGAACCUUUACUACAGCUUAGCAUUGACCUUGGUCAUCCGAUGUGUAGGAUAGGCCGGAGGCUUCGAAGCGGGAGCGCCAGCUUUCGUGGAGCCAUCCUUGAAAUACGGCCCUUUGGCUGUCUGAGGUCUAACGCGUGAUUACGCGGACACUGCUUGGUGGGUAGUUUGACUGGGGUGGUCGCCUCCAAAAGCGUAACGGAGGCUUCUAAAGGUGCCCUCAGGACGAUCGGUAACCGUCCGCAGAGUGUAAUGGCAAAAGGGCGCUUGACUGGGAGACAGACAAGUCGAGCAGGUAGGAAACUAGAGCAUAGUGAUCCGGUGUUUCCGUAUGGAAGGGACAUCGCUCAAAGGAUAAAAGGUACUCCGGGGAUAACAGGCUGAUCCCUCCCAAGAGCUCAUAUCGACGGAGUGGUUUGGCACCUCGAUGUCGGCUCGUCA
rnacentral:rRNA from 1 species